CUCCGGACCGACCGACCGACCGACCUAGGUUCUUGCUGGGGCUCUAAGGAGCAGUUUCGCUUUCCCCAGAUGUCUGGUGAACUUUGCAUUAAAAAUGAGGCAAUAAAAAGCACUGAGGAAGUUGUGUGUACAUCUCCUGGCUAGCUCCCUUUCAGGGUGUCCAUGUGGGGGACUUACCCGUAGAAGAGCCUCUACAGGCUGGAAGGGUUUUCAUACAUGGGCUGUUCUGUUUCCUUAGAUGAGUGUGGUGCUUAAUCUGCCUGGUUCAGGCCAGUGACUCCUUGGGCUGUCUGGUAAAAUCUAGAGGCCAGAACAAUGUGGGUUUUUUUGUGUUUGUUUUUUUUGGGGGGGGGGGGUUGUUUUUUUAAUCCUCAAUCAAUAGCUACCCUCAAAGGAGGCACAUAAGGAGACAGAGGUGUUGAGGCAGA